CAUGCAAGUCGAGCGAAUGGAUUAAGAGCUUGCUCUUAUGAAGCCCAGCUUGCUGGGUGGAUUAGUGGCGAACGGGUGAGUAACACGUGGGCAACCUGCCCCAAACUCUGGGAUAACUCCUCGAAAGAGGUACUAAUACCGGAUACGAACUAGACAGACAUCUGUACUAGUUGGAAAGUUUUUCGGUUUGGGAUGGGCCCGCGGCCUAUCAGCUUGUUGGUGAGGUAACGGCUCACCAAGGCUACGACGGGUAACCGGCCUGAGAGGGCGACCGGUCACACUGGGACUGAGACACGGCCCAGACUCCUACGGGAGGCAGCAGUGGGGAAUAUUGCGCAAUGGGCGAAAGCCUGACGCAGCGACGCCGCGUGAGGGAUGAAGGUCUUCGGAUCGUAAACCUCUUUCAGUAGGGACGAAGCGAAAGUGACGGUACCUAAAGAAGAAGCACCGGCUAACUACGUGCCAGCCGCCGCAGUAA
rnacentral:rRNA from 1 species